rnacentral:rRNA from 1 species
CGAGCGAGAGAGAGCUUGCUUUCUCGAGCGAGUGGCGAACGGGUGAGUAACGCGUGAGGAACCUGCCUCAAAGAGGGGGACAACAGUUGGAAACGACUGCUAAUACCGCAUAAGCCCACGACCCGGCAUCGGGUAGAGGGAAAAGGAGAAAUCCGCUUUGAGAUGGCCUCGCGUCCGAUUAGCUAGUUGGUGAGGUAACGGCCCACCAAGGCGACGAUCGGUAGCCGGACUGAGAGGUUGAACGGCCACAUUGGGACUGAGACACGGCCCAGACUCCUACGGGAGGCAGCAGUGGGGAAUAUUGCACAAUGGGGGAAACCCUGAUGCAGCGACGCCGCGUGGAGGAAGAAGGUCUUCGGAUUGUAAACUCCUGUUGUUGAGGAAGAUAAUGACGGUACUCAACAAGGAAGUGACGGCUAACUACGUGCCAGCAGCCGCGGUAAAACGUAGGUCACAAGCGUUGUCCGGAAUUACUGGGUGUAAAGGGAGCGCAGGCGGGAAGGCAAGUUGGAAGUGAAAUCCAUGGGCUCAACCCAUGAACUGCUUUCAAAACUGUUUUUCUUGAGUAGUGCAGAGGUAGGCGGAAUUCCCGGUGUAGCGGUGGAAUGCGUAGAUAUCGGGAGGAACACCAGUGGCGAAGGCGGC